rnacentral:lncRNA from 1 species
AUGAGGGGAUGCCAGAAGGAGAAUCCAAAAGAGCCUCACCCAGCUCCCAGCGUACAGUGGAAGAUGAAAGCAGUUGCUGUCAUCGUGCUCCUGCUCCUCGCCUCCAUGUGCCUCCAGGCACAGGCUAGGCUCCUGGAUGACUUCGAGGUGGGAGCAAGCGGAGCUUUUGAUUUAGGAGUGAGUACUACGGAGCCCUCAGGAGGUGCCUCCCAUUUGGGGAGCCCCAGGUCCUCAGCGGUUUUUGAGGAGGUUCUGGUGCCCACUGGGAUCUCCUCAUUUCUCCCACUGCAGCUUAAGUUGCUACGAGGAAAGCGGAACUCCCAUUCCCUUCCCCCUCUGCUGGCGCUCCCAGAUCCCGUGGUUGUGAAUCUUCCUAUCAAGGUGAGUGACACUGGGGGACCCCUGUAUCCUGCAGGGUCCUGGGCUGUGGGGGGACCCCAAAUCUCUCUGGAUUGGGAGGUGUGGAGGAGAUCAAAAAGGAUCCAAGAAGAACAGUGCAGUCCCUGUAAGGUGCAAGUGAUCGUCGUGGUACCAUAAGGACCCCAUAAGGUCACCCACAGAACACAAAGGGUUCAGGUGCCAUACAGACCAAAUAAAGUGACCAUAAGGUCACCGCCUGCA